UCUGGUCUCUAGAGCGAGGUGGUACCAACUCUUCCCAUCCCGAACAGAGUCUUGAAACGCUUCAGCGCUGACAAUAGUUGGGGGUUCUCCCCCUGCAAAGAUAGGUCGAGGCCAGAA
rnacentral:rRNA from 1 species